GCCGGCAGAGGGCGCUACGAGCGGAGGCCGCGCUGACCACCCCGGCCCAGGCCCCGCGUGCAGCCGCGCGGGCCCCGCCGCGCCACCACCGCCGCGAUGGUGAAGGAGCAGUUCAGGGAGACCGAUGUGGCCAAGAAAAUAAGCCACAUCUGUUUUGGCAUGAAAUCUCCAGAAGAGAUGCGUCAGCAAGCCCACAUUCAAGUGGUCAGCAAGAAUUUGUAUAGUCAGGACAACAAUCACUCGCCACUGCAGUAUGGAGUGCUGGACCAUCGCAUGGGAACCAGUGAAAAAGAUCGUCCCUGUGAAACCUGUGGGAAAAAUCUGGCUGACUGUUUAGGGCAUUAUGGGUACAUUGACUUAGAACUACCAUGCUUUCACGUCGGGUACUUCAAAGCUGUGAUAGGCAUCUUACAGAUGAUCUGCAAAACCUGUUGCUGCAUCAUGUUGUCAGUGGAAGAAAAAAGGCAGUUUUUAGAUUACCUAAAACGACCCGGCCUUACAUAUCUUCAGAAGAGAGGGCUAAAAAAGAAAGUGUCUGAGAAGUGCAGAAAGAAAAACACUUGUCCUUACUGUGGGGCCUUUAAUGGAACUGUGAAGAAGUGUGGUUUGUUGAAGAUAAUACAUGAAAAGUACAAGACAAAUAAGAAAGUUGUAGAUCCAAUAGUGUCAACUUUUCUCCAGUCCUUUGAAACUGCCAUUGAAUAUAACAAAGAAGUAGAACCCUUACUGGGAAGAGCUCAGGAAAACUUGAAUCCUUUGGUAGUAUUGAACCUCUUUAAAAGAAUCCCAGUGGAAGACAUCCCUCUACUUCUAAUGAACCCACAAGCAGGUAAACCUUCAGACUUGAUCCUCACACGACUCCUGGUGCCUCCACUGUGUAUCAGACCCUCUGUGGUGAGCGAUUUGAAGUCUGGCACCAAUGAAGAUGAUUUGACAAUGAAACUGACAGAGAUAAUUUUCCUCAAUGAUGUGAUAAAAAAGCAUAGGAUAUCAGGAGCCAAAACACAGAUGAUUAUGGAAGACUGGGAUUUUCUUCAGCUGCAAUGUGCUCUGUACAUUAAUAGUGAGCUCUCUGGCAUACCCCUCAACAUGGCACCUAAAAAAUGGACCAGAGGUUUUGUUCAGAGACUUAAAGGAAAGCAAGGUCGAUUUAGAGGCAAUUUGUCUGGAAAGAGAGUGGAUUUUUCUGGCAGAACAGUCAUUUCACCUGAUCCUAACUUAAGAAUAGAUGAAGUAGCAGUACCUAUUCAUGUUGCUAAAAUAUUGACCUUUCCUGAAAAGGUGAACAAAGCAAAUAUUAAUUUUAUGAGGAAACUUGUCUGUAAUGGUCCUGAUGUUCAUCCUGGAGCAAACUUCAUACAGCAAAGGCACACCCAAAUGAAAAGAUUUUUGAAAUAUGGGAACCGAGAGAAGAUGGCCCAGGAGCUGAAGUUCGGUGACAUUGUGGAGCGACAUCUGAUAGAUGGUGACAUCGUCCUGUUCAACCGGCAGCCCUCUCUGCACAAGCUGAGCAUCAUGGCCCAUAUUGCUAGAGUAAAACCUCAUAGGACAUUCAGGUUCAAUGAAUGUGUCUGUACACCAUACAAUGCAGACUUUGAUGGAGAUGAGAUGAACCUUCACCUUCCUCAGACAGAAGAAGCAAAAGCAGAAGCACUUGUUUUAAUGGGGACUAAAGCAAACUUGGUAACACCUAGAAAUGGAGAGCCUCUUAUUGCUGCUAUUCAAGAUUUCCUCACAGGUGCUUAUCUUCUUACAUUAAAAGAUACCUUUUUUGAUCGAGCCAAAGCCUGUCAAAUUAUUGCGUCUAUCCUGGUUGGCAAGGAUGAGAAGAUCAAAGUCCGUCUUCCACCCCCAGCAAUUCUGAAGCCUGUAACACUCUGGACAGGCAAACAGGUUUUCAGCCUCAUUCUCAAACCCAGUGAUGAUUGUCCUGUAAAAGCCAACCUGCGAACCAAGGGCAAACAGUAUUGUGGCAGAGGGGAGGACCUGUGCUACAAUGAUUCUUAUGUUACAAUUCAAAACAGCGAGUUAAUGAGUGGCAGUAUGGACAAAGGAACACUGGGGUCAGGAUCCAAGAACAACAUCUUCUACAUCUUGCUGAGAGACUGGGGCCAGGUGGAAGCUGCAGAUGCCAUGUCACGUCUGGCCAGACUUGCUCCAGUCUAUCUUUCUAAUCGUGGCUUUUCAAUUGGAAUUGGUGAUGUAACUCCUGGACAGGGCCUGCUAAAAGCUAAGUAUGAGCUCCUGAAUGCUGGCUAUAAGAAAUGUGACGAGUAUAUUGAAGCUCUGAACACUGGCAAGCUACAGCAGCAGCCUGGUUGUACUGCAGAAGAGACAUUAGAGGCUUUAAUCCUUAAAGAACUGUCUGUUAUCAGAGAUCAUGCUGGCAGUGCCUGCCUCAGAGAACUGGACAAGAGCAACAGUCCCCUGAUCAUGGCUCUCUGUGGUUCUAAAGGCUCCUUCAUUAACAUAUCCCAGAUGAUUGCUUGUGUAGGACAGCAGGCUAUCAGUGGGUCCCGAGUUCCUGAUGGGUUUGAGAACAGGUCCUUGCCUCACUUUGAGAAGCAUUCUAAGCUCCCUGCAGCAAAAGGCUUUGUUGCAAACAGCUUCUACUCUGGGUUGACUCCCACUGAAUUUUUUUUCCACACAAUGGCUGGUCGAGAAGGUCUGGUUGAUACAGCUGUAAAAACAGCUGAAACUGGGUAUAUGCAGAGACGUCUGGUAAAAUCCCUUGAAGAUCUUUGCUCACAGUAUGAUUUAACAGUCAGAAGUUCUACUGGUGACAUUAUACAGUUUAUUUAUGGAGGAGAUGGCUUGGAUCCUGCAGCUAUGGAAGGGAAGGAUGAACCACUGGAAUUCAAGAGAGUUCUAGACAAUAUCAGGGCUGUCUAUCCCUGCCGAAGUGAACCAGCCCUUAGCAAAAAUGAACUGGUAUUAACAUCUGAGUCCAUCAUGAAGAAGAAUGAAUUUCUUUGCUGUCAAGACAGUUUUCUGCAGGAAAUUAAAAAAUUCAUCAAAGGUGUUUCUGAGAAGAUAAAAAAAACUAGGGACAAGUAUGGAAUUAAUGACAAUGGCACAACAGAGCCAAGAGUUUUAUAUCAGUUGGAUAGGAUUACUCCAACACAACUAGAGAAGUUUCUAGAGACUUGUAGAGACAAAUACAUGAGGGCACAAAUGGAGCCUGGAUCUGCAGUAGGAGCUCUUUGUGCACAGAGCAUUGGUGAGCCUGGCACACAGAUGACUCUGAAGACUUUCCAUUUUGCUGGUGUUGCUUCAAUGAACAUUACUUUGGGUGUGCCAAGAAUCAAGGAAAUCAUUAAUGCUUCAAAGGCUAUUAGCACCCCUAUUAUAACAGCACAGUUGGACAAAGAUGAUGAUCCUGAUUUUGCCCGUCUGGUUAAAGGAAGAAUUGAGAAAACUUUGUUAGGAGAGAUUUCUGAAUAUAUUGAGGAAGUGUUUCUUCCAGAUGACUGUUUCAUCCUAGUGAAGCUGUCUUUAGAGCGCAUUAGACUACUGAGAUUAGAGGUGAAUGCCGAGACUGUGCGUUACUCGAUUUGCGUCUCUAAACUCCGAGUGAAGCCUGGGGAUGUUGCUGUCCAUGGAGAAGCAGUUGUGUGUGUGACCCCUCGUGAAAAUAGCAAGAGUUCCAUGUAUUAUGUAUUGCAGUCCCUCAAGGAAGAGCUACCAAAGGUUGUAGUGCAAGGCAUACCAGAGGUUUCCCGAGCUGUCAUUCAUGUUGAUGAACAAAGUGGAAAGGAAAAAUACAAGCUUCUGGUUGAAGGUGAUAAUCUGCGAGCUGUUAUGGCUACUCAUGGAGUCAAAGGAACAAAAACAUCCUCUAACAACACUUAUGAGGUAGAGAAAACUCUGGGAAUUGAAGCUGCUCGGACAACCAUUAUCAAUGAGAUUCAAUACACGAUGGUCAACCAUGGCAUGAGCAUUGACAGGAGACAUGUCAUGUUAUUGUCUGAUCUAAUGACUUACAAGGGUGAAGUUCUGGGCAUUACCAGGUUUGGACUGGCAAAAAUGAAGGAAAGUGUGUUGAUGCUGGCUUCUUUUGAAAAGACUGCAGACCAUCUCUUUGAUGCUGCCUACUUUGGACAGAAGGAUUCUGUUUGUGGUGUUUCUGAGUGCAUCAUCAUGGGAAUUCCAAUGAAUAUUGGAACAGGUCUCUUUAAACUGUUACACAAAGCGGACAAAGAAUCAACCCCUCCCAGGCGGCCUCUGAUAUUUGAUCAUAAUGAAUUUCAUAUUCCCAUUGUUACAUAGCACUUGGACAGAAAACAAGGAUCAUUUUCCAUGCAGCCAAGAUUGUUCCAGUCUGCGUUCAGUCUCUCCAGCGGCACUGAAAUGCAGCUCCCAGAGCUGCUCUGAAGCGUGAAGUUCUGGCAGCUGCCUUGGGAGUGUCUCACAUCCUUCAGCUGCUGCACAACUCCAAGGCAAGGCUGCAUUAGAGACAUUUGAAGAUUCCUCCCUUCUGGACCUGUAGUGACUGUCACUGCUGGUGACACUGCUUCCCUGUAGCAGUGCUAUGUCAACCAUACUGUGCCACUGGCUGGAUUCAGCUCAGCCAUGCAAGGUUACUGUGAACACUUGCCUGGAGGAUAAUUAAACCACUCAAGGAAGAAACAUCUCCUCAGCACAUCUGGAUGUGGAAAUCUACUGCCAUCAAAAUUACAGCUAUGGUCAAAUAACUUUUGAAAAAAAAAAAAUGACAUUAUUAUAUAAGGUAAUAUAUUUGUACUUUAAACUGAAAUGAAGGGCAUCCCUGCUUCAUGUGGCUCUUUGUAAGCAUUAAAAACUGUAUUCAGGCCUUUAGAUCUCCACUUAUCUUUGUCUUUAGCCUGUUUAUGCUUUCUUCUUCAGCCUUCCUACUUAGCUGGCACAAAUAUCUUCUGCCUUGCUUAUGUUUGUAUGUAUUCUGUUGAAGAUAAGCGUGGGGAAGGAUGAGCAGCACAGCAGCUUGGGAAGGAGCUGGCAAAUGUAGAAUCAGUGUACUAUUGCUUCCACAGACUUAUAAAGACCUGGGGAAAUCUUUUGCCUCUGAACUUUAGAUUCAGUCUGUUAAAGAGUGUUAAAUUAGAAUAGUCUCACCUGAGCAAUAUGGUUGUGAGAGAUGAUAGAAUCAUCAAGGUGAGUAAGGGACUAUGCUUGUGAGAACAUAGAUGUUAUAAGGAGUACUUAGUAAAUAACAUUGCCAGGAUGUGGGGAUUAAAGAAUGUGAUUAGCAUCUGUUGUGUAUAGUUCUUUUCAUCGUCUAAAGAAAGUCAAAAAAGGCUAAUAGUUGGUGCUAUUGAAGUCAGUUGCAAGGCAGGCACUGACUUCAGCUAGAAAAGGAGAGGGCAGUGAAGCUCUAGGCUGCCAUUAAUGAUCUUGAAAGGGGAGGGUGGCAGCUCUGAAGGUGAGUUAAGGAGAACAAAAUUCUAGAAGUACAAAUAGCCCAUGGUAAAAAGAAUUAAUAUUAGGCUUGCCUUGCUGAUGAAGUGUAUUUAUCCUUCAUGGAAUAUCCCUAGCAGAUUUGGAGACUUCUUAAUUCAGUUAUUCUUUUGCAUAGUCUUUUUAUUACCAAACUGGGGCUUAAUCCAAAUCCCCUGGAAACCAAUUAGAGAAUUCAGCAGAACUGGAUGAGCUUUGAUAUAUGCAUUAUAUUAAGUAUUUCUAUCCAUCAAACUUGGACCAGUUAAUCCAUCUUUAUAAGUUUCAAACAGUUGAACAACACUUCUCUAAAUAUCAUUGCUGUAGACUUGAUUCAAAAAGGAUCAUUUUAACCUAAAUUAUUUUUAAGACUUCUGUGCCUUAAAAAGGCAGGAGGACUUUGUCUCAGAUGUUUCUCCUUAUUCUAGGCUGAGCUGGAUAUGCUCUUUUCCAUUUAGUAUGGAGGUGGGGAUUUGCUAUUUGUUUUGGGAAUUGUUUUUUUGUUGUUCAUUUCUCACAAAUCUUGGUAUUUAUAAAAAUUAAAGUUCUACAUUAUUUUUGUGCUGUUUUUCUUUUAAAAAUACUAACUUGAACUGCUGAAUGUUUAAUUUUUACAUUUGUGUUAUGUGUGGGAAAAAUAUAAGAUAGGUUGAAGAUCUGUAGUUCAUUUUAAACAGGAUGACCAAACCUUGUGGAAGCUGGUAAUGCAGCUGCCACUGUGCCAAGCUGAGACAUUAUUUCAUUCUAGAACUCUCUGAUGGCUUUCCUAUCCCUCCAGGCACGUAGGCUGAAGCAGAGACUGUAGUACUUUUGCCUUUCAAAUGAGAGUGUAAUUUAGGAGUUACUUCAUUUCACAUUUGUUACUGUUUUCAGAACUGAUUUUAGAUAAGUCCAGUAUUUUUGUCAUUUUAACUACCCUUCAGUCUUAAGUUUCAUCUUGGUCCGUGGUCUGCUUUGUUGGAGCAAAUUGACUACAGAAAGUUGUACAAGGGUUUCUCUUUGACUUUAUUCUCACUGUCAUCCCAAUGUUGUGUUUUCCUCCUACAAAAAUCAUUUCCCUCUCCUGCCCAAGAAAUCCUGCAAUAUUAAAAGUAAAAAUUUCUUCUCCUGUCAGAAGCA